UGAAGAGUGAAUAACAAGGUGAACUUUCUUUUGUGGACUUUAUCUCUGGCACAAUACGCAGGGACUCAGGUGACAAUGAGUAGGUGUAUUUCGUCCAGACUCGUGCUCUUCUUGUUCAUGUCGUGUUCCUACCAUGUUAGUAUGUGACCCUCAACCCGUUCGAUAUGGUGAGUUGCAAGAUAGCGGGAGGAUGCCGGUGACAGCGGAAAGAGCAGGCCGGUGAGGUGAGGAGGAAAUGUUGGAACCGAAACCCUCUAGCUACCUCUCCUCUUACUCGAACGGAGAUAAAAAAAGAAGAACAAUGGAUACGAGAUAUUUUCACGGGCGCACGAACACCCCAAUCUUUUUCUUCCUUACAGUGGCUACAUGACUACACACGGCUCACUUUCUCUACACACACGCAGGCUCUAUAAAUAGCCUUGCGCACGCACACAUCCACAGCCACACCGGCCACUAACACACGGCCACUAACACACGCAUGCAGGGAUCACCCAGCCACUAACCCACUAGACACAUGCAUGCAUAUCUACUGACUUAGCUGGCACGCAUUUGACCACUACCUAUGACCCAGCCAACUAACAGCUUAACAGACUCACGCGACGCACGCACAUACGCACAACACACAUGGACGCGCCACGCCGUGCACGCACACAUGGAUUAUGGCUAACAAUCUCCCCCCCUAAGCCAUGACCGUGCCGCCCAUUCUGACGUACAGAACACUGGCUCCUCGUUAACGCGGGGAACACCCUUCUUCAUCUCCGACGACACAUGCUGUAGCUUCUCUUUCCGGCGCACUGACGGCGCCGGCCGCAACUACGGCCGAUUUCUUUAAGCAUAAACUCGAGCCACACUUGUUACAACGCAUACGGGAGGUUUUAUAUCCUGGGGCGUGUCAGGGCAUGUACCCCACGCCCCAGUACACGCCGAGCGCCUGUUCCGGUCUGCUCUGCCCACUCCCAUGACAUGCACGCACACGUCCGGGUUGUGCGAGCCCGCCUAGGACCAACUCUAUACUCCCCCGAUCUCGCCAACAGGAUGCACACAUGUUGCAAUCGUGCAUGGACACGCCCGUGCACACCACACGCACACACACGACCCACCGUCGACCUGACGCGCUCGGCGCGCGCCCAUACACGCACCCGACGUGACAAGCUCGUCGCCAUGGUUGUUGCCGCCCGACGCCACCGUGUGCUUCCAGCACGAGCCGCCGCAGGUGCCGUGCAACGCGGCUACCUCACCGGCCGCUGUCGCGCACCGCCGCCGAUGCAGCUACCGCCAUGUUGCGCCCCGUCGAGCGCCACUCGCUGCCGCUGCCGAAACCCGCAGCUCCGUGCACCGCCGUGCCGCGUCUCCGUCCCUCGCGCCACUGCGCUCUCCGCGCGCCGCAGCCUCCAUGUCCGCUGCGCGCUCCGCGGACGCCGCCGCGCACCACGCCGCCCCUCGAAUUUGGCUUUGAAUACCAAUUGUUGGAACCGAAAUCCUCUAACUACCUCUCCUCUCACUCGAACGGAGGUGGAAGAAAAAGAAUAGUGGAUACGAGAGAUUUUCCAGCCGGCGCACGAACGCCGCCACGGGUGCAAGAACGCCCCAAUCCUUUUCUUUCUUACAGUGGCUACAUGGCUACACACGGCUCACUUUCUCUACACACACGCAGGCUCUAUAAAUAGCCUUGCGCACGCACACAUCCACGGCCACACCGGCCACUAACACACACAUGCAGGGAUCACCCAGCCACUAACCCACUAGACACAUGCAUGCAUAUCUACUGACUUGGCUGGCACACAUUUGGCCACUACCUAUGACCCAGCCAACUAACAGCUUAACAGACUCACGCGACGCACGCACAUACGCACAACACACACGCGCACCCACGCACGUCACACACGCGCACAGACGCGCCACGCCGUGCACGCACACAUGGAUUAUGGCUAACAGGAAAGCAACACGGGAAUGUAUAUAUUUCUUCACAUGAACUUCACUAUUUUGCAACAUGUAUUCCAUUUUCACGGAUAAUUCUUUUGUACUUUUGUUUUUAUCUAAUCCAUUCCAACCUUUUAACUGAUGAUGUUUGAUUCACUACUAUUUUGGUUGAUGAUAGAUUAAGAAGGAUAUGAUUAUGAAGCUUGUGCUUCUUCCAAUAUGCCCUCAGUACUCUAUAUCAACAAGCGAGUCUAGCAGCCGCAUUCUCCGACGCUUUAUAUAUUUUCAUGGAUAGGGUUUGGGUGGCCUGAUGAGAGCAGCCCAGUGGCUGCACCUCUGCAGCCUCGCCAACGUUGACAGUCACAGGUACCAUCUCUUUACCCCAUCCAGUUCGUUCCUUCCAUUUGAUUCAGUUUCUUUUACAACUGAAUCAAGUCUCGAGGUGGAUAUGUGAGCUCUACACGAAGAUCAGUCAGGACGAUCUACGACUACAAGGCACCUAAAAAAAAUCCAUACUUUCUAGGUGUUCUUGGGAUGAACUAAUGUGAAAUCGUUGAUCAUCUAGCAGUUUCUAUGUAUGUGUAUCCUUCAGAUUUGGUGUUCCACACUGUUAUCACUUAUCUUAAUGUCGAAUAUUUUAGAUAGAGGUAAUCAUCACCGUAUUUGUUGUUCCAUACUAUUACAGGUAAACAGUUAGAUCAACCUCUCACUUGUAUGCUCGGGCUGUUAUUUUUCUUCACCAUCUUAGUCAUGAGAUUAUGCAUGCCUCUAUAGGUAACGGAGAAUAAAUGUAUUUUAGCUCGAGGUAAGUACCCAUAUCAACUUUGAUUUGUGUUCUUGCAUGGCCCUUUUGUUUUACCUAACCUUAUCAUGGAAAUAGGUCAGUUUCUCUUAUUACCUUCUUGUGUUUGGAUAUAUGGUUUCAAAAACGUAUGCCAUUGUUUUACAAAGAUUGCCUGAUAAUUUAAUCAUAUAGUUGAAAUUUAGUAAAAUAUGUCCACUUCGUAGAUAUUGAGACGACCCAUGAAUAGAGUCGAAUUAUCUAUGUUUUUGAGGCGGAGUAGAUUUCAUCCGAUCUCUGUAUUCGUGCUUUGGGAGAAGAUUUCAGCAAAGCUUUCUAUUUAUAUAGUUAUUUAUUAUGCACUUAAAAUUUUCUUCUAGCACUCACCCCUUGGUGCUUAAAUUAAGGUUCUCGGUUUUAGUGCUCUUCAGGUCCAUGCAUGACAAUCAGUUUGUACUUUGUGUACCCUGUCUGUGGUGCGUGCCGUCUUGCAGCGUGGAUAAACCUUUGAUCUUGAUUUUUUGUUAAAGUUUUGUCAGCAACCACAUCGAGACAUUGGAAGAAGUAGAUGUGGUGUACAAAGAGUUGGCUUUACAGUCUGGCAUUAAGCACCGGGGAGUUCCUUCUUUUGGUGUUGAGGUCACAUUCAUUUCAGAUCCUGUGGAUAUUACCAAAAUCCUGCCUUAUGUCUGCACAAUUGACAGUUUCUAACCUCAGAGGCUCGACAGAUCAGAUCACCAGGAUCACAACGUACACGUACGUGCUAAGCUAGCACACAUGUAAGCAACUGGAUGGAUUAUCCUACCACACGUACGUGCAACUCCUGCAUGUGGAGCUGCUUGGACUAACAACGACUUGAUCGAUUCAACUUCAGCUCUUCGGCGGAACUAGCGAACCAAACAACAGAUGGAGAGACUUUCGGUGAUAGCUACAGGCUCCUGUCGAACCUGUUAACUUUUCUCUUUAUUGAUCUUUUUUUGUUAUUGAUUACAGGGGGGAUACGCAGCUAUAUAUAACAGCUCAGCCUAGCAUAAGCAAACCAAGUCGGUUUCUAAUACUAGUCCUACUCGGCCACAGAUGUAUACGUACAUGUAUGGAAUA